rnacentral:rRNA from 1 species
UGGGGAAUUUUGGACAAUGGGCGAAAGCCUGAUCCAGCAAUGCCGCGUGUGUGAAGAAGGCCUUCGGGUUGUAAAGCACUUUUGUCCGGAAAGAAAUCCUUGGCUCUAAUACAGUCGGGGGAUGACGGUACCGGAAGAAUAAGCACCGGCUAACUACGUGCCAGCAGCCGCAGUAAUACGUAGGGUGCAAGCGUUAAUCGGAAUUACUGGGCGUAAAGCGUGCGCAGGCGGUUUGCUAAGACCGAUGUGAAAUCCCCGGGCUCAACCUGGGAACUGCAUUGGUGACUGGCAGGCUAGAGUAUGGCAGAGGGGGGUAGAAUUCCACGUGUAGCAGUGAAAUGCGUAGAGAUGUGGAGGAAUACCGAUGGCGAAGGCAGCCCCCCUGGGCCAAUACUGACGCUCAUGCACGAAAA